UAGAGGUAUUUAGCCUACUUCAAUCGAUCUCAGUGGCGUGCACUUGGAGAGGCCUAUGUCCAGCAGUGGACUGCGAUAGGCUGAUGAUGAUGAUGAUGAUGAUGAGGGUAAGCCUGGUGUUCUGAAAUAUAAUGCAAUUUGUAACUACCAAAGUAAUGUACUUAUUUGAUGAUGAGAAACAAUAAUAAUAAUUGAUUGAUUUUAAAGUCACCAAAUAUUUUUAACCGAAUCCCAAAAAGGAGGUGGUUCUCAAUUUGGAUGUUUGUUUUUGGUCGAAAGGGUAUAUUCCCCAUAUUUGUUAUUAGGUCCAGGAUCUGAUGAUGGAAACCUUGAGAAAUCGAGGGCAACUCUCGAAAAUUGUAAGCAUAGAUAAGGUUAUAACUUGACACUCAGAUGUAUGUCUGAUAACACUAUGAAACAGUAAAGGUUUGGAGCUGACCUGAUGAUGGAGACCAGAGAAGGUCGAGGGAACUCGACAACCGAAC
rnacentral:lncRNA from 1 species